GUCGUGAGAUGUUGGGUUAAGUCCCGCAACGAGCGCAACCCUUAUUCUAUGUUGCCAGCGGGUAAUGCCGGGGACUCGUAGGAGACUGCCGGGGUCAACUCGGAGGAAGGUGGGGACGACGUCAAGUCAUCAUGCCCCUUAUGUCCAGGGCUGCAAACACGCUACAAUGGCCGGUACAAAGGGCUGCAAACUCGUGAGGGUAAGCGAAUCCCAUAAAGCCGGUCUCAGUUCGGAUUGUAGGCUGCAACUCGCCUGCAUGAAGCUGGAGUUGCUAGUAAUCCCGGAUCAGCACGCCGGGGUGAAUACGUUCCCGGGCCUUGUACACACCGCCCGUCACACCACGAAAGUCGGCAACACCCGAAGCCGGUGGCCUAACCGCAAGGAAGGAGCCGUCGAAGGUGGGGUCGGUGAUUGGGGUGAAGUCGUAACAAGGUAGCCGUACCGGAAGGUGCGGCUGGAUCACCUCCUUUCUAAGGAGAUUCUCUCGAGCGAUGGUGGACAUUCGUGCCACCCGGUCGAGACAAAAUCCCAGUUGGUGCACUGGUGGGUUCUGUCGGAUGAUCACGAUGUCGUAGGGCUUGCCCUCCUUCGUGAACUGAUGACCGAACUUUAUCUUCUCUUCUGUUUUGAGGGAUUCGUUCCUCUACGCAUGGCAUGAGCUGUCGAGCCCCUCGGGGAUCCCGCUCCGCUGCCGCAGCGUGUCCGGUGAACGUGUGCAAGUUGGCGCGGUCCCGACGCUGUGCGUCGCCCUUUGAGAACUGCAGAGCAAGCACGAGCAUCUUUAUUUCUUCCAAGCUACAAAGAGCCAACGGUGGAUGCCUUGGCGCCAAGAACCGAUGAAGGACGUGAGUGACUGCGAAAAGCUGCGGGGAGCCGUCUACUAGGCAUUAAUCCGCAGAUGU
rnacentral:sRNA from 1 species